UCUCUUCUCUCUCUCUUUCUGUUUAUGCCCUGGGGCUAUUGUUGGUUACUUUAAUCAGCGAUUGAUAAGCUUCCUUCUGUGUUUGUAUUACUGUUGGGGCUUAAAUGGUUCUGGGCUUAAUUCUAGGUCAUUCAAUGACCAGUGGGAUUUCUUGUUUAGGCGUUUUAGCUUUAGAUUGGUAUAUUCUGUGCUAAAGCUGUUGGUUUAUUUGCAAACAAACAAAUAGAUUAAUAAAAGGGGCGAUACAGUGGAUGAGAAGAUCAAGAAGCUUGAUGUUGAACUUAAUAGAUACAGAGAGCAUGUCAAGAUCACAUUGAGUUAUUUGUUAUUUUUCUGUCUCGAAUUCUUAUAAUGUUACAUUACAUUCUGCUGGCUGUUUUUCCAAUAUCACAUUGAUUAAGAAGGGUCUUGUUUGCAUGAAAUGGACUAGCAUGGUGAUAUAUUAAUUUUUUGUCAGAUACUAUGCUUUGGAUGAACCAAUCAACCUAUCAAGGAUUUUCAUGUCAUGGAGUGCUUGGUCUCUUCUAUCAAUAAAUGUUUUUUUUUCCUGCUCAAGUUGGGAUCUUUUAGCUAGUAAUGUGGAAUCUGUCAAGCUUUAAUAGAUACAUGUAUUUGGUUGCCUGAGUUAUUCCUUUCCUAUUAUGAGCUCUGUCAAGUCAUUUGUAAAGUGAAAAGCAUAAUUAUCCUUAACUCGUUCAUCAUCCCGGCUCUAUACUGGAUAUUGCCUGAUAUGUGUCCAGAAUCUAGUUCUCAAGAAUUCUGCUCAUUUGCUGUCAUUUGGGAAUUUUAUUCCUUCUUACGUCAUGGACUCAUACAAAUCUUUUAUAUUAAUAAAAGGGGCGAUACAGUGGAUGAGAAGAUCAAGAAGCUUGAUGUUGAACUUAAUAGAUACAGAGAGCAUGUCAAGAAGACAAGGAGCUUUCAGCAAAAGUUGCCAAGAUUGUGGGAGCGACUCCCAUUGUUACAGAAGAUCACACUCAGCCAUCAAAUCAGCAGCAGCAAACACUUGGCCUGAGUUUUCAGGGAGGAUACCCGAGAAAGAGAAAGCUAUAUUAGGCUUAUCGUGGACAUGUUGAAAAUUGUUGAAGGGAUGAAGUCAUUCAGUCUCCGAUCAAUAUGCAAACACUUGAGAUGCUGGAGAAGGAGGAGAAGCUCCUUGGCAGCGUUGUAAUAAAGAAACACUACUGUUUCUAUGAGUCGCAUUUGUAAUUGAUUGGGGGUUCUUCAAAAUUGAAUCCUAAAGACGGUCUAUAGACGAAGGGGGAGACUCUUGGUGGAUUGGGUGUGCACUGAAAAUGGAGCAAGGCCAACCAGAGGUGAGCUAGGUUUUGAGUUCUUGGUGAAUAGGAGUGGGCAGCCUUAUCUGAUUCAAACAAAUACCUUAAUCAGGUUCUUUUCUUCCUUUUUCUUUUGAGUUCAUUAGCAUGCAUCUAUCUAUUUGAUUACCAAAAAAAUUGAGCAAAACGAUGAAGGAAUGGGAAAUUCAAUUUGAAUUCUUUUUCAUCAUAAUGUAUGAAAUUGUAGUCUUGGUGUUGUACAUUGAUGAACUGUUGCACAGAGAAUAAUGUCUAGAUAUAUAUGUGAAGAUAAAUUUGGUGAGAUUGUAGUCCAAUACACUCUAUUGGUAAAGGUGAAGAUGUAACAGAAAGAAGACGAACAUAAAUAAGCAUCCCAAUUAAAUCAAAACAGUAAUGAUAAAAGAGUGUAAAGCAAAGACAUUAUCAUCUUUCUAUUGGACUAUUGGUUUAAUUGGGUUUAAUUGUGUCAUUUUUCAUAUAUUGGCAUCUUUCUGCUCCUUCACAUAGACAAGCAUAUGUUUAUGUGGAACUUCUCUUUUCAUUUUGUUGUUUAAAAAUUGAUAUGAAUAUGGAGCUUCUGGUGAUAAUGGGUGUUACUAACUAUAUAUCACUGCAUUAAACUACUUUGAAUUUGAGAUGAUAUAGGAGCAGAUUGCGAGCUUGGAGUCGAAUUAAUCAGUCUCAAGUGCACCUUCAAAUAUCUUUUGAACUUGACUCGUAAGAGUAAGCGAUUGUUCAGUGAACCAUGUUCUGAUUUCUCCUAGCACUUAUUUUUGGGAGUUUGGGCACUCUGCUAUUAUCGCUCUUGGAUUUUAAAAGGUCUUGCAAUCUGACUUUACCAACUAGUUUUGAAAACCAUUUAUCUAGUUCUUAUAUCUAUGUCCAGUUGCCUAAUUGUUUAGCGGAGAAAGUUGUUUUAUUCCUUGUUUGGUACCUUAUUUUGUGUUCUUUUAAAUAUCGAAAAAUUGGUCAGGGCUAGUUGUUUUGGUAUGCUGUGAUAUUCUGGAAGGCAAACUGUGUUUGGAAGGAAGAUUUUGGGGGUUUGGUGCAUGAUAAAGUUUCUGAAAUUUUCAAGUCUCUUGGACUUGGUUGUUCCUGCUUUUGGUUCUGCUCAUGAAACUGAAAAGUUAAAUUGAGGUAUUUGCAUGUGUGUAUUUGAUUGAAAAAAAUUCAUAGUGGAGAUAGACUGCUGUUUGCCUUUACCUUCUGAUUUUGGUUGCUAUCGUUUUACAUGUCUUUUGGUGAAUUUGUAUAUAUAUCAUUUUGGUUGAUGUUGGUUGCUUGGAUUAUGUUAGGAAAGUCCAAAGUGCUUGAAAUUUUGGUUGCUCGAAAAUUUGGUUGUUGUUGUUUUGCAUGUGUUUUGGUAAAUGUCAUAUAUUUAAUUUUGGUUGCUAUUGGUUGCUUGGAUUAUGGUUAUUGAAAUUUUGGUUGUCAUUUACCAAGUGGCAUAUAUGUAAUGCUCAAAUUACAAAAAAUUUCAAGGUUGGCCAGAAUACAUAAUGCUCAAUGACAAUUAUAGAUUCUUUUCUGCAAUUUUGUCCAUUACUAAGUGCAAACCCUUUUGUUUCAGUGGGAAAGAAGAGGCAAAGAAGCAUAUGCCAAGAAGAUAUGGAUGUGGUUAGAAAUGAGUGGACAAAGUUUGUGGUCAAGACAUAUAUGUAAGCAUUGUACUUGGUACUUGGGUACCCAUAUAUUUUUUUAGUUCAGUUGAGACCUUGUUCUUUAGAUUUGGUUGGACAUGAGUUGAUGCUAGUACUUUGAAUUGAUAAUGUAAGAUUUGUGAGAAUGAUGUAUGAGAAUGUGGUAAAUGAAAUUGGAACUUCGAAUUUCAUAUCA